rnacentral:rRNA from 1 species
AAGCUCGUAGUUGAACUUCAGACCUGGCCGGGCGGUCCGCCUCACGGUGUGUACUGUCUGGCUGGGCCUUACCUCUUGGUGAGCCGGUAUGCCCUUUACUGGGUGUGCCGGUGAACCAGGACUUUUACCUUGAGAAAAUUAGAGUGUUCAAAGCAGGCCUAUGCCUGAAUACGUUAGCAUGGAAUAAUGAAAUAGGACGUGCGGUUCUAUUUUUGUUGGUCUUUAGAGUCGCCGUAAUGAUUAAUAGGGAUAGUUGGGGGCAUUUGUAUUCCGUUGCUAGAGGUGAAAUUCUUGGAUUUACGGAAGACAAACUUCUGCGAAAGCAUUUGCCAAGGAUGUUUUCAUUAAUCAAGAACGAAGGUUAGGGGAUCGAAAACGAUCAGAUACCGUUGUAGUCUUAACAGUAAACUAUGCCGACUAGGGAUCGGACGACCUCUUUUUUAUGUGUCGUUCGGCACCU